UUCAAAUAAGCUUCACCUGUCAGCUUCACCUUCAAUCUCUCCUUUCUAGGGAGAUUCUAUAUAUAAGACUCUGGUCUGGACUCAGGACGUCUUUUCUAUUUGUCUAGGACUUGUUGGUAUUUGCACUCUGAAUAUAUUCUAGCUGGUCUCGACUGCGUUAAGCGAUAUAUGUUUUUUGAGGUAACUUCCACCUUGAAAACAAUCAUAAAAUCAAAAUCAUAAAAUUACCUUUUUAUGAAUUAACUUUUAAAAGUGUGCUAAAAAAUAUAUAUACUUCCACACUUUUGUUGUCAAGUUCUACAGAGAAAUGUUCGUACAUGUUCAUAUCCUACUAACUAGAAUAUUGUGAGUUUCAAAGUUUAAUUUUUUUUUAAAUAUAGAUGAUGAUAUAUAAAAAAUAUAAUGUAAAAAAAUGCUAAAUGGUGAAAAGUCAUUCAUUUUCUGUCCAGCUAAUUCUUUUACAUUUUGUUUUAUUGUUUCUGAGUAAUCAUGCCAAUGAUGCAAAUUCCACAGGGACUGAGGAGAAAGAGAGAGCGGGGGAGAAAACAAGGAGGGAGCUGAGCAAAAGAGGGACGGGGAGGAAAAAGAAAGCUAGGAACAGCAUGUGUUGGAUCUCCCCAGCUGAUAUGUGUGUUUCAACCACAAGGUCCAUGCCAGGCAAGCGAAUAACUGCACUUGCAACUAUGCUACUCACACCUCCCAGGGCGAUGCAUUCAUUUUUUUCCCAAUUUUUUCUUCUACCUACCACAGCAGACCAGCAUCGCGAUGGUGUUGAUUGUUCGACUGUGCGUGCGUGUACAACGGGGAGCACGCCGCACACAGUGGGCAGCUUGCAAUGGUUUCACAGCAAGCCAUUACUUUUGUGCCUGUGAUGUAUCAAACAGGAAUUAAUUCUCUCUCUCUCUCUUUUUUUUUCACACAUCUUACACAUACNNNNNNNNNNNNNNNNNNNNCCCCCCCCACACACACACUCACACACACAGAGGAUCUCACACAGAGUGUCUGUCCUGGUCGUCCAUCUCAACGUGACACCCCAGAACAGUGAUGUUUUCCUUUGGUGCCGAUGGCAUGGGGUAUAUUUCACUGACUGAUAGCGUUCACUCUUUCACUCUCCUCCCCGUACUCCUCCUCUCCUUUCACUUCAUCAACAUCUCUCGCUAGCUCUCUCUUUAUCCAUCUCUUUCAACCUUGAUCUAUCUUUCUCUCUCUCUCUCCCUCCAACGCUUUCUUCCCAUCUUUUGUUUCAUUCUUUCUUAGCACAAUACCUCUUAUAGGAGACCAGUUAUCAUGAAGAAGGCUAUGAUAUAGAAAUGUAGAUGCCAAGGAGAAAAAUGUCACAUCAUUGCUAAAUGUCAAGGUUUUUUUUUUUUGUAGGCACUAAGCAAGAGCUUCUUUCUACAUUCACCACUUUGCACUGACAUUCAGCAGAGGGAAAUGCAUUGAAGACGAGGCAGAGAAGGCAAUUUCUUUACCCACAGUGCCAUCAAUCGAAUAAAGGAAAACACACUUCUUUUUGACUCUCUUGCUGUUACUAUGCUCUCACUAUUGCUAAUGCACUCUUUACCUACACAUAGAAACCACAGCUGCAGCAAUUCCAUGCAUAGAAUGUAUCUGCGCGUCCCACGCAAAUGGACUCCAUUCCUGAAAUGACAUUUCUGUUUGUGGAUUUUCAAAACAGACCCGGAGCUAAUUGCGAGAGACAAAAAC
rnacentral:lncRNA from 15 species